rnacentral:rRNA from 1 species
CCACGGGGGGCAGCAGUGGGGAAUAUUGCACAAUGGGGGGAACCCUGAUGCAGCGACGCCGCGUGAGCGAUGAAGAAUUUCGGUAUGUAAUGCUCUAUCAGCAGGGAAGAAAAUGACGGUGCCUGACUAAGAAGCCCCGGCUAACUACGUGCCAGCAGCCGCGGUAAUACGUAGGGGGCAAGCGUUAUCCGGAUUUACUGGGUGUAAAGGGAGCGUAGACGGCUGUGCAAGUCUGGAGUGAAAGGCAUGGGCUCAACCUGUGGACAGCUUUGGAAACUGGGCGGCUUGAGUGUCGGAGAGGAAAG